AUGUCCUUUGCCUUCUCCUGAAGGGAGAGAAAUUGAACAGAAACCCCUCAAAUGACAGCACCUAUAGCUGAUGUCCUGUCUGCAACUUCCUGAAACACCCUGAGCCAGAAUCACCCCUAAAGCCACUCCCAGAUUCUUGACCCACAGGAGCUGAAAUAAUACUUAAUUGUCACGUUAAGCUUUUAAGUUUGGCAGAAUUCUGUUAUGAGCAAUAGAAAAUUAAUACAAGAGCCAUCCUGGAUGGAGAGAUUCUUCCUGAGAGUGAGAAAACCUUUCCUAGAAACUUGACAGCUCUUGGCCAGAUUGUGUCAUAUAAUCACAACUAAUCCAAUGUCUGGUUGGGGGUUGGUCCUCAGAGACCAAUCAGGACAUAUACCCUGGGACUGUCCCACCUCAGAACCACUGAACAUGCUGGAGCAAAGACAAGGAAGAGGAUUUCCAAACACUUCCUCCAGACCUCUAAAGCCUCCCACAGUAUAACCCUUUACGUUGACCAUUUAUGCUGUUGCAACUGUAUGCCUAGGUUUUUACCCAUAACAAGCUCUGGCUGCACAGUUAUAUCACAAUCUACUUUCCCUCUGCUUCACCUUUGCACACGCUGGUCCCACCACUUGGUGUGCCUUUCUUCCUGGAGAUGCCAGUUAAAAUCACAUCCUCCUUUAAAAAAUAUAUGUAUAUACAUACCCAGACAUUCUUUUCCUCAUAUCACCCUCCAUUAUGCUUUAUCUCGAGAGAUUGGACACAGUUCCCUAUGUGUACAGUAGAACUCCAUUGCUUAUCCAUGCUAUUGGUAAUAGUUUGUAUCUACUAACCCCAAACUCCCAGUUCAUCCAACUCCCUCCCGCUUGGCAACCACAAGUCUGUUCUCUGACUGUGAGUCUGUUUCUGUUCUGUAGAUAGGUUCAUUUGUGCCAUAUUUUAGAUUCCACGUAUGUGAUGGCAUAUGAUUUAUCUUUCUAUUUGUGAUUUACUUCACUAAGUAUGAUAAUCUCUAAUUGCAUCCAUGUUUCUGCAAAUGGCAUUAUUUCAUUCUUUUUUAUGGCUGAGUAGUAUUCCAUUGUAUCUAUGUGCCUCAUCUUCUUUAUUCAUUCAUCUAUUAAUGGACAUUUAGGUUGUUUCUAUGACUUGGCUAUUGUGAAUAGUGCCUCAGUAAGCAUAGGGGUGCAUACAUAUUUUUAAAUUAUAGUUUUAUUUGGAUAUAGGUCCAGGAGUGGUACUGGGAUUGCUGAAUCAUGUGGUGGUUCUAUAUUUAGUUUUCUGAGGAACAUCCAUACUGUUCUCCAUAGUGGUUAUACAAAUUUACAUUCAUACCAACAGUGUAGUUUCUCCACACCCCAGAGACCUAUAUUCUUAUUUCCAUGUAUUUUAUUUUUCCAGAAAUUGUUUCUGACUUUCAGGGACUUGUUCCUUGUACUGGAUCUUGGGAUUCACUUUACCUUUGAGACUUUGCCUCUAUUCCUUCUCUGACCACCCUUUACCUUUUGUGUUCUCUAUCCCUCAGUGGUGAUAUCUCAAGACUAAAAAAAAUAUGCCCCGGUGAUUAAAAAAUAAUAAUUAUAAUAAUAAUAGUAAUAGUUUGGGUGGUUAAUGACAUGGAUGUCAGGAAGAGUCAAUUACUGUCUGUGCCUGCUUCUUCAAGUAGCAAAUGUGGGCUGUGCUUGGUAGGCCAGACACUAGGGAAGGGCCUGAUCUUUGUCUCCCCACACUCCAUGUCCAGCAGCGGGGGUUCAUUUCAGGUUGUCAAUGUUGGCCAGGGGCCAGGGCUCAGAUCCUUCUUGUGGGGGCAGAGCAAGGUGGGGAGCAGUAAGAGUCCCAGAGUCAGUGAUAUCUAAAUGCUCACUCGUGAGCCGAUGCUGGUCCAUGGUGAAUCCCCUGAACCAUGGAGGAGGGAGGAAAACCAUGGGAAGGUGGCCAGUGUCCUAUCUGUCAGCAGCUGUCCUUCAAAGUGAGAUUUUGCCCCAUCUUUGUGGAAUACACCUCCAUUUCCAAAAGUUAAAUGGUAAGAGAUAAUAGACAUUUUACUGGGCAGAAUAAAAUAUUUUCCACCCAAUUUCCAUUUUUUUCCUUUUAAAUUUUACUUGUCUAUAAACCCCAAAUGUCUGGGGAUUUUUGUCUAAAGUGAUCUAGGUUAGGCAAGAAAUAGGUAUUUUGUGAGAAAAAUAAAAUCCUAUUGGCAGAAUCUAGGGUGGCUACUGAUGAUUAAUCCAAUGUACCUUAUAUUUAUCCUGCUUCCUCCCCACAAUUCGCUUUGCCUGGAUGGUGAGGUUUCUGCCAAGAAACCUCACCAGGAUCUGAAGGCUCCAUUGUUUGCUAAUUGCGGCCCCCAGCCAGGCCCAAAAAUGUUCUUGGGGCAGCUAAAACCAUGGCUGCCUUCCUGUCCCUCAGGGUGGGAGACACAGGCUUGAAGGGCAUAAUCUAAAUUAAGUGUCCCAAGGCAAAUUAAAACAAAUGACACCUAGGGUUUCUGAAAAAGAGGUCUCUAGCUUUCCAGAUGAAUUAUGUUUUCCUUUCAUCUCUUUGGCUUUCGUAGUGGUUGAAGUGGAAAUUCCAAGGGAAAGUGGGGCUAAAAUGGAUGAACUCUUUUUAAAGACUUGAUGACACCACAUGGCAUGGCCAUGUGAUGCCACUGUCUGCUGGACACUGAGCCUCUGGGGUCAGGGGGUCAUCAUAAGAAUCCUGCACCCUCCCCAACAUAGCAUUUCAAUGCUUCCUUGGGCUGCCAUAACAAAGUGCCACCAACUGGGGCCAUAAACCCACAGAUUUGUGUUGUCUCACAGUUCUGGGGGCUAGAAAUCCAAAAUCAGAGUAUUGGUAGGGUCUCCUGCCCCUGUGCCUUUGCCUGGUGUUCUCUGGCUCCUGAGUACCCCAAGCCCAUCUCCACUGCCGUCGUCAUGUGGCCUGCCUUCCUGUGACUGUGUCCCUGAGUCCCCCCUCUUUUUCCUAUAAGAGCACCAGGCAUAUGGAUUAAGGACCCACUCAGUUCUUGUAUGACUUCAUUUUAGCUAAUUACAUUUGCCAAAGCAGGUCACCUUCUCAGGUACUGGAGCUGGGACUCCAUUCAAUACAUCGUUUUGAAAGAUAGAAUUCAAUCCACAAAAAGUGCUCAGUAAUGAAGAUGUGAAUAAAUGACUCUUGGAACCACCAGCAGUUAGGACUCGGCUGUAGGCCUAGCAGAUAGUGAGUGGAGAAGUGUGUUCUUUCUUAGUGCUGAGUGUGCACGCUUGUGUGCAUGUGUAUGUACAUUUCUACAUCACGUAAAUAAUAGCUAAAAUUAUGAGUAGCCUGUACUUCUGAAAGACCCACCAAGUGGAUUGCAAAGUGGUGAUGAUUGAACAUGCAUGCCCUGCAGGCCUUACCCCGCACUAAUGGUCUGGACCCAGCCAAAACCCAGAUUGGAACUUGAACCCACAGGUUUAAAUUAGAAUCACUCAUCUGGUGUCUGGAAUUAAUGAGGUUCAUAUUCUUCAUGCCUCCACACAGAAGGAAUUCAGGAAGAGAAAAGGGAUAGGCAAGAAAUAGAUUUAUUAAGAUAGGAUGCUUAUGAGAGAUACAAGCAAACAGGCAAGGAGGUUCUGCCCCAAGGAUUAGGUGGGCUACAGUUUUAUCAUCCAAGGGGAGUGGGGGUUGGAAAGGACUGCCUCUUCCUCUUUCAGCCAAAGGGCAGUCCUUAAACUCCAGCCCUUGGUCUGAAUCUGAAUGCAGGCCUUAUCCCAACCCCCACCCAGCGACCUGAGGCAAUGCUCACACCUCCUCUGAUCAAGCAAGACUGCCUUGUUCGGAUGGCUUUCUUGUACUUACAGGGAUCUCCUAAAGUCCCCUAGGUUUCUCUUUAUCGAUGGUCCAUUAUUGGGACUUCUACAACUACCUGUGCUACUCCAUCCCUAUCACUAUUUAAAGCCCAGGAAGAAAUUUUACUGAUGAAUUAAAAAAAAAAAAAAAUUCUCCUGUCUUCUGAACAGUUCUGCAUGAGACAGAACACAAGGUCCUAGCAUGAUUGCAGCCUAGACCUUGGAUGGGGCAGCCUAUAGAGAGGCCAAGGAAGUGUGGUGCGGGACACUGCAGGAUGUGAACCUGGGGACCUGGCGUGGGUGGGUAUCACUCUCCUUGUCCUCCCAGAGCCAGGGCCCUGAUAAUCUCCUCAGUUUGCUCUUAGGUUUCUUUCUUCCCUUAACCUUCCUCUUUGUUCUUGCUCACUUCGGUGCCCGGGAGAAGUGCUGGUUGGUGUCUGUUUUUGACUCCAGCUCAAAUAAAAUAGAGAGAAUGGCCCUGCAUAUCAACAAGCUCUAAUUUCCGUGCACGGUGACCCCCACUUCCAGGGGUCCAUUGCUGUCUCUUGCGCUGCCUGGCUCUCCUUGAAACCCCUGGCAGCCUUCUGAGAUUAAAUGCAGAGCUCUUGAAUAAUCUAAGCCCAGCGAGAAGUCACUAUCUCAGCGGCGGGCCGAGUGUUCCAGACUGUCAUCUUAUUAAGAGCAAAGGGAAAUUUUGAUUUAAAGGAAGGCCCUUAAUUUUCCAACAAGGAGUAGAAGUGAUAACAUUUCUUCCACCCCCUGCUGAGUCACCACUUUAUGGAAACUCAGCUUCACCGUGUCCCACUCACUCCUUUGUGCUUGGAUAUUUUGUCAAAAGCUUUCACAAAGAGAUGUUCUUUAACAAGAAAUGCAUUGAAGUUGCUGAAGGGAACAAAUCCGUGUGUUUUUGUGAGUUUGGUAAAAUAAGAGAGAUGUGUUCUCAGCACGCAGUCAUACAUGUUCAGACCUAGCUUGCCUGCCGUCUCUGCACGCCACCCCCGCCCUUCCCCACCCUCCCUCUGCUCCAGUGCAUCACCUUGUGGGGAUCAAAAGGAAUGGCUGUCACUUUCAUGUGACCAAGAGGGCAGGCUGGUUGGAAACACAGGUACAAUUCCAUGUCAAGGAAUACUGCUUAAAUGUAAUGCUCUGUAUAUGGAAAAUCUGCAUCCUGAUGGAUGUCCCAUAAAUAUAAUGCUUUGUGGUUCUGGUUGCAACAUAUUUUAUUUAAUCAAUAAACCUAUACAACACUGUCUGAUAAUAAAUAAUGGCAAUUUUCAUGAUGUUCUGGGCUGUUAGGUUUUUUUUCUUGUUGUUGUACAAGAAAAUUGCAUUUAUCUUUCACUCUUUUUCAGUUCAAACAGCCCACAACUGCUUUAAUUUAGAUCAGUUCAAGUUGCCAUUACUCACUGAUCCUAAACAUCCUAGCAAGAGUAUAAGAGCUAUAGGAACCUGUAAUGAGAGGCUAGGAUAGUAUUGUGAUAAGAUGGGAGUGGAUAUGACUAGAAUGGUCCCUGGGCUCAGAGGGCUGGGACCUCAAUAAACAGUUAGGCUGGUGAGCAAGGAUGGGGGAUGGAGGAUGGGGACUUAGAGUACUGUGGUUCCUACCUAAACCUGCCACAGUCUUUUACUUGGUUUAUUCCCUUGGUUUGCCUGAGCUACCUGGACUCAGAGACUGUAUAUUUCCAUCUUCCUACCCUUGCAUUUAGCAAACUGCCCAGUGUAUAAUGAGUGCUCACCUAAUUUUGUAGAAAAAUCGGUGCGCAAACAAACGAAGGAGAAAGUCAUUCUGGAUUCACAGACUAUCAGCAUAAUUGACUCAGGCAUAAGGUACAAUUCUGGUGGCAAUUUCAUACUUGCACCAGUUUCUCGAGCAUUGCUGUACCCUAGCAAUACAUAGGAGUAAGAAUACCAGUUCUAGCAGUUACAGUUUCUCAGCUUCAGCAUCUUUCUCUGUAAAGUGGGAGCAACCAUGCUAGCUCUUUCCUAGCAUUGGACAUGUUUAGUGAAAUAAUGCAUGUGAAGUAUUUAGCAUAAUGCCCCAGAGAUAGUAGGUGCUAGUCCAAUAAAAUUUAACUGGAAUCAUGAUUAUUAUUGAAGGCUAUGAUGGCAAUGUCUCUAUUCCUACCAUUUAAUCCUACUAAUUUUUUAAAAAAUCUCUGCUAUGUUUAGGGCCCAUCUACCUUCAUGUUUUUGGUUAGAUUCAGGCAGUGUAUAUCAAUGUAAGAUAAUCAUCAAGGUGGUGAGAACAGAAGAGGCAGUUGAGUGUGUGUGAUCCUUUAAAAACCUUAAUGAUGCCUAGAGAGGACUACUAUUUCUUAGGUGCUUACUCUGUGCUGGGCUCUGGGAUAGAGAAAUACUAUGUUAUCCCCUUUAAUUUCUAUAAAAAUAUUUUGAGGUACACAUUAUAAAGCAUUUAAAAUCUUCCAUUAGGGGAGUUCCCGUCAUGGCACAGUGGAAACGAAUCCAACUAGGAACCAUGAGGUUGCAGGUUUGAUCCUUGGCCUUUCUUAGUGGGUUAAGGAUCUGGCAUUGCUAUGAGCUGUGGUGUAGGUUGCAGAAGUGGCUUGGAUCCUGCAUUCCUGUGGCUGUGGUGUGGGCUGACAGCUGCAGCUCUGGUUGAACCCCUAGCCUGGGAACCUCCAUAUGCUGCAAGUGUGGCCCU
rnacentral:lncRNA from 1 species